rnacentral:lncRNA from 1 species
UCUCUUUCUCUCUCUCUCUCUCUCUCUCUUUCUCUCUCUCUCUCUCUCUCUGCCUGUCAAACAGAAACCUUUUUUUUUUUUUCAGAGCUCGGAAGACGCGGUCAAAGGCGGCUCCUCCCGGGCGGACACGCUGCCGUCUGCCGGGAGAGACGAGAGUCCCGCAGGCGCCUCUCAGGACGACUCGGACGACCCCUGGUGACCCCGCCCGGCUGCCCGCACGCCGCGAGGGCCCUCGACGUCGAGCCCUUCGUGGGUCCCGUCGCACAAAAUCCCCAAUAAAAAUGUGAAAUCCAGCGUGACUGUUUUUUCUUCGUUUUGCUACUAUUAUUUUAUUUUUAUUUUGCUACUAGAAUGUGUGCCCACGACACCCUGUCUCAGGCCGGCUGACCGGUCACCCACACGGCCUGCGGCGGUUCCUUCCCUCGAGUGGGGCAUGACCACAGUGGCGGCCAUGUUCUCUAACGGCGGCCAUGUUGUCUAGCGGUUCCUUCUCUCAAGUAGGGGGUGACCACAGUGGCGGCCAUGUUGUCUAAUGGCGGCCAUGUUCUCUAACGGCGGCCAUGUUGUCUAGUGGCACCCAGCCAUUACUGGUCAACCAGAGGGCCUGCGGCGGCUCCUUCCCUCGAGUAGGGGGUGACCACAGUGGUGGCCAUGUUGUCUAAUGGCACCCAGCCGGCUUACCGGUCACCCACAGGGCCUGCGGCGGCUCCUUCCCUCGAGUAGGCGGGUGACCACAGUGGCGGCCAUGUUGUCUAGCGGCACCCGGCCGGUUCCCGACAAAACAGCGCGCCGGCUCGGACAGACUCGCACUCACACCCACACGCGGAAUCUUGAUGAUGCGACACUCGACGACACACGGAGCGCCGAGAAAGGCGGGACUGACGUGCAGGCGCGUGCGCGCGGCCGCCAUUUUAUUUCGUCGCUCUUAGUGCGUCCACACCUGUCUCCAUCUAGAUCUCUUAAGACACGCGCCCACGCGUGUUGGCUGAUUAUCUACAAAUAUUUAUUGGGACACUCGGAGAGCCGCAGGCAGCCCUGGGCACGGGCGGAAAAUACCGGUUCACCGUCAUCUGGGUUACAAAAAUCCGUACGUAGCAAAAUGGAACGCUCUUGA